GCUGCCACGGCUCCUGGGGAGGGACAACGACCCGUGCCAGGUCAUGCCGGCCAUUUUAGCGCUCCGUGCCCCCCCAGCACCCCCCGUUCCCUGCCCUACCUUCCCUGCUCCGGCUCCUCCAGUACAGGACGCCGGCGAUGCCCAGGACGUGGCUCAGGACAAAGGCAGCGGGGGGCAGCCCCGCCGGGAAGGAGCCGCAGCCGAGGGGAUAUCGGCGGCAGCAGCUGCCGUGGAGGCAUCGCCACAACGUCCCCGAAGUCACCGGGGGGGUUUGGGACAAGCACAAAAGCUCAGUGUCCCCCCCCCCGCGAUGGGUGACAGUCAGCAGCGUCCCCUGCCAGCAGCAGCCGGAGGUGCCAAGCGCGGCCGGGACAGGGAGGCAGCGCUUCCAGGAGCUCCCGGCACACUCGGCCGUGUCUGCCCGCAGGAAACUCUGCCCAGCGAGGGGCUGAAAGCAACGGUGACAAAAUUUGGCCUUCUGGGGGUUGAGGAGCACAAGCAUAUCCCCAUCACCCACCCUGGAUGCUCUGCAUAACGUAAGAACACUCCAGCGUGAGGAAACACCCCAAAAGAUGCUCUGACACCAGAGGUUUGUGCACUCCCCCACCCUUCCCGCGGCUGGGUGUUCUGCUUGCCCCCAGCAUGGCAGACUGGGCAGCCCAGCCCGGUUUACUAACGGUUUGCACCGUGGUGUUGGCUGUUACUCAUGGUUUCGGUUCUGCUCGGAAACGCUUCCUCUGCCGGCGGUGCCAGGAACGGCGCAGGGAAACCGAGAGCAGCCGGUGCCUGCCCGGCCCCUCCGCCCUCGUAACCACAAGCAAACGGGCUGGGGAGGCUCCCACAAAGCCUGGAUUGAGCUCACAGCCCCUCACACGCAGCGCUGCCAGCUCCAGAGGGAGAGAGUGGCUCUUGGAUGGAGGUUGUGCGGAAUUCAAGGCUCAUUUUUCACUGCUUCUCUCUCCCCGGGCUCAGACAAGAGGGGGUUGUUCUGCUGGGGCUCAGGGAGGUGUUCAGGUGAGGGUGGCACAGAGCAGAGCUGCAGAGCAUCAGCCUGGCUCAGGAUUUAGGGGUGGGAGAGCCAGGAAUCUCAGCUCAGGAUUUACUGACCAGGAGAUGCAGCAUCAGAUGUCAUCUCACAACUCCCGCUCCACAUUUGGGAAAAACCAUGAGGUCCAGGGUUUCAUCCAGGUGCAAACAGAAAUUACAUGAUAUUUACAACCCUGAGCAGGUCCCCAAACCCAACAGCCACCAGCUAGACAGGUACACAAAGAAAUCCAGGUCAAGCAAAACCUGACAGACCCAAACACUGCCUGAAACAUUCCAAAACCUGGCACAGGGUGCCCAGAGCAGCUGUGGCUGCCCCUGGAUCCCUGGAAGUGUCCAAGGCCAGGUGGGACAGGGCUUGGAGCACCCUUGGGAUGGUGGAAGGUGUCCCUGCCCAUGGCAGAGGGGAUGGAAUGAGAUGAUCUUUAAGGUCCCUUCCAUCCAACCAUCCAUGACUGCAUCCUUCCCUGGGGGUCCUGCAGCCCCCACAUCUUUUGGGACAACGAGAGGGGUGAUAAAAAAUACAGAAUUAACCCGGGGCUCGGCGCUGUUGCAAUAUAUUCUCCAGAGCUCCAUCCCUGCCUGGAUGAAAAAUAUCCUGGCAUAGUUUUCCCCCAAAGAUGUCUGGUUUCUGUUAAAGCUUCAGGAGGAAUGACCCACCACGAGGCAGCCACGAGGCCACCAUAAAUGGGCCCCUGGUCCAACCUGAGAGGGCCAAAGAGCCUCCUGCAAGGCAGAUGAGAGCUGGUGACGUGAUGGAGCUGGGAUCUGCCAGAGGAAAAGGGUCCAGGAAGCAGGAGCUGCUUUCCCACAUCCCCUCAACCAUGGGGGCUCAGCUGCUCUUGGGCUUCCUGGGUGUUUCCUGCACAGAGGGGAUGAUAAAAUGCACUGAGUGCUGCCAGCUGCUCCAGCUGGAGGCUUUGGGUGAAAUAAAUUCUUAAAAUAUAUAUAA